rnacentral:tRNA from 17 species
CAGGGAAUAGUUUAAGUAGAA